rnacentral:pre_miRNA from 1 species
AUUCUACUCCCUCCAUUGUACAAUACAUGCCUUCUAUUUGUCAAAAUAUAUAUGUAUCUAGACAUGUCUUAGUAUAUAGGUACAUCCAUUUUUGGACAAAUGGAAGUCAAGUAUUUUGGAACGGAGGGAGUACACA